rnacentral:rRNA from 1 species
UACGUAGGGUGCAAGCGUUAAUCGGAAUUACUGGGCGUAAAGCGUGCGCAGGCGGUUUCGUAAGUCUGUCGUGAAAGCCCCGGGCUCAACCUGGGAAUGCCAUUCGAGACUGCAUAGCUAGGGUGCGGAAGAGGGAAGCGGAAUUUCCGGUGUAGCGGUGAAAUGCGUAGAUAUCGGAAGGAACACCAGAGGCGAAAGCGGCUUCCUGGUCCAGCACCGACGUUCAGGCACGAAAGCGUGGGGAGCAAACAGG